CGGACGGGUGAGUAACACGUGGAUAACCUACCUAUAAGACUGGGAUAACUUCGGGAAACCGGAGCUAAUACCGGAUAAUAUUUUGAACCGCAUGGUUCAAAAGUGAAAGACGGUCUUGCUGUCACUUAUAGAUGGAUCCGCGCUGCAUUAACUGGUUGGUAAGGUAACGGCUUACCAAGGCAACGAUGCAUAGCCGACCUGAGAGGGUGAUCGGCCACACUGGAACUGAGACACGGUCCAG
rnacentral:rRNA from 1 species